rnacentral:rRNA from 1 species
CCAAUAGCGUAUAUUAAAGUUGUUGCAGUUAAAAAGCUCGUAGUUGAAUUUCGGGAUCAAAUUGUUGGUCGUGCCUCGGUACGCACUGGUAUUAUUGGUUCCUACCUUCUGAAGAACCGCGAUGUCAUUAAUUUGGUGUCGUGGGGAAUCAGGGCUGUUACUUUGAAAAAAUUAGAGUGUUUAAAGCAGGCUUACGCUUGAAUACAUUAGCAUGGAAUAAUGAAAUAGGACGUUUGAUUCUAUUUUGUUGGUUUCUAGGAUUGACGUAAUGAUUAAUAGGGAUAGUUGGGGGCAUUAGUAUUCAAUUGUCAGAGGUGAAAUUCUUGGAUUUAUUGAAGACUAACUACUGCGAAAGCAUUUGCCAAGGAUGUUUUCAUUAAUCAAGAACGAAAGUUAGGGGAUCGAAGACGAUCAGAUACCGUCGUAGUCUUAACCAUAAACUAUGCCGACUAGGGAUCGGAUGAUGUUAAUUUUUUAAUGACUCAUUCGGCGCCUUACA